rnacentral:rRNA from 1 species
CAGUAGCCACGGGAAUACGGAGGGGGCUAGCGUUGUUCGGAAUUACUGGGCGUAAAGCGUGCGUAGGCGGUGAGUUAAGUCUGCUGUGAAAUCCCCGGGCUCAACCUGGGAAUGGCAGUGGAUACUGGCUCGCUAGAGUGUGUCAGAGGAUGGUGGAAUUCCCGGUGUAGCGGUGAAAUGCGUAGAGAUCAGGAGGAACAUCAGUGGCGAAGGCGGCCAUCUGGGACAACACUGACGCUGAGGCACGAAAGCGUGGGGAGCAAACAGGAUUAGAGACCCCUGUAGUCCCUGUCUCUUAUAC